UCCCUGGUGGCUCAGAUGGUAAAGCAUCUGCCUGCAAUGCAGGAGACCUGAGUUCAAUUCCUGGGUCGGGAA
rnacentral:tRNA from 1 species